GAUGAACGCUGGCGGCGUGCUUAACACAUGCAAGUCGAACGAUGAAGCCCAGCUUGCUGGGUGGAUUAGUGGCGAACGGGUGAGUAACACGUGAGUAACCUGCCCUUAACUCUGGGAUAAGCCUGGGAAACUGGGUCUAAUACCGGAUAGGAGCGUCCACCGCAUGGUGGGUGUUGGAAAGAUUUAUCGGUUUUGGAUGGACUCGCGGCCUAUCAGCUUGUUGGUGAGGUAAUGGCUCACCAAGGCGACGACGGGUAGCCGGCCUGAGAGGGUGACCGACCACACUGGGACUGAGACACGGCCCAGACUCCUACGGGAGGCAGCAGUGAGGAAUAUUGCACAAUGGGCGCAAGCCUGAUGCAGCGACGCCGCGUGAGGGAUGACGGCCUUCGGGUUGUAAACCUCUUUCAGUAGGGAAGAAGCGAAAGUGACGGUACCUGCAGAAGAAGCACCGGCUAACUACGUG
rnacentral:rRNA from 1 species